GUUGCCUGGCUGGUUGCGGGGCUGGCUCCCCUCCCUCCGUCCCUCUCAGAUUUGGCUGGAUGGGGAGGGGGAGGCCAGUGGCCAGCGGUUUGGGGCGGACCGGCAGCGGCGACGGCGAGGAGAGUGGAGUCGGCGGCGUCUCCCCUCCCUCCUCCCAGAUCCGGUGGUGCGGAGGGCGGUUGCGGCGGCAGCUACCGCCAGUGACGAUAUAUUUAAUCCCUCUUACAAAGUGCCAUAAGGUCAAUUGUUCCACUGUCAGUAAUAUCACCAGUUUUUCAGUACAGUAUGGCAGUAACCUGUGACAGCGGUGGAGUUCGGCGGCUCUCGCCAGCGGUGGAGUGCACGGCAGCGGCGACGGCUGGGGACAACCUCGGCUCCAUCGGCGGCGGCUGAUGGGGAGGACGUCGGCUCGCCAGCGGUGGAGUGCACAGCGGCAACGGUGGCUGGGGACGACCUCGGCUCCAUCGGCGGCGGCGGAUGGGGAGGACGUCGGCUCGCCAGCGGUGAGUGCACGAUGGCGAUGGUGGUGGCGGCGGCGGCGGCGGCGGCGGAAGGGGCCGCCCUUGGCGCUGGCCGCGGCGGAUGGGGCCGGCCAUGGCAGAUGGUAGGAUCCGGCGGCGGCAGGAGAAGAGGUCGGCGUGGGCAGCGGCGGCGGUGCCGGAAGGGGACCUCGGCUCCGGCGGCGGACGGAGAAGAAGGCGGCUCCGGCGAGGAUGCGGCGGCGCGGCGGCAGUACAGAGGAGCGAAGUCUUUGCGCGUGGAUGGGCGAAGUCUUCGCGCGUGGAUGGGGAGUAGUUUUCGCGGCGGUACUCAAUCGUGCGGCGGUGAAAUCGUGCGCGCGGAUGGACGGUAGGGAUUGAUCUGGAUGAUUUCACCUGUAGGAUUGCAAGGAGACAACUCCUCCUUUUUAUAUUAGUAUAGAAAGCAGGGAACAUUCAUCAAUCGCCGUUGUUUAUUUAAUUAGUAUAACCGCAACCGGUUUAUGAA